AUUGAACGCUGGCGGCAGGCCUAACACGUGCAAGUCGAACGGUAACAGGAAGCAGCUUGCUGCUUUGCUGACGAGUGGCGGACGGGUGAGUAAUGUCUGGGAAACUGCCCGAUGGAGGGGGAUAACUACUGGAAACGGUGGCUAAUACCGCAUAACGUCGCAAGACCAAAGAGGGGGACCUUAGGGCCUCUUGCCAUCGGAUGUGCCCAGAUGGGAUUAGCUAGUAGGUGGGGUAACGGCUCACCUAGGCGACGAUCCCUAGCUGGUCUGAGAGGAUGACCAGCCACACUGGAACUGAGACACGGUCCAGACUCCUACGGGAGGCAGCAGUGGGGAAUAUUGCACAAUGGGCGCAAGCCUGAUGCAGCCAUGCCGCGUGUAUGAAGAAGGCCUUCGGGUUGUAAAGUACUUUCAGCGGGGAGGAAGGGAGUAAAGUUAAUACCUUUGCUCAUUGACGUUACCCGCAGAAGAAGCACCGGCUAACUCCGUG
rnacentral:rRNA from 1 species